rnacentral:lncRNA from 1 species
GGAAGACUCUAAAACUUGUAGUAGGGAUCUGAAGGAAUCUAAGAUAGGACUUGCAAAAUGUUCAGUUCUGAAGGUCUGAAGUCCUUAUAUAGCACAGAUCAGCUGGGCUUCUCCGUAGAGUUUCAUAAUGUGGAAAUCAAGGUACGUUACAUGAUCUGGGUUGUGUUCCAUUCUGG